rnacentral:rRNA from 1 species
CCUACGGGAGGCAGCAGUGGGGGAUAUUGCACAAUGGGCGAAACCCUGAUGCAGCGACGCCGCGUGAGUGAAGAAGUAUUUCGGUAUGUAAAGCUCUAUCAGCAGGGAAGAAAAUGAUAGUACCUGUCCAAGAAGCCCUGUCUAACUACGUGCCAGCAGCCGCGGUAAGACGCAGGGGGCAAGCGUUAUCCGGAUUUACUGGGUGUAAAGGGAGCGUAGGCGGUUAUGUAAGUCUGGAGUGAAAGCCCGGGGCCCAACCCCGGGACUGCUUUGGAAACUGUGUAACUGGAGUGCAGGAGGGGCAGGCGGAAUGCGUGGUGUAGCGGUGAAAUGCGUAGAUAUCAGGAGGAACACCGGCGGCGAAGGCGGCCUGCUGGACUGAAACUGACGUUGAGGCUCGAAAGCGUGGGGAGCAAACAGGAUUAGAUACCCCGGUAGUC